rnacentral:lncRNA from 12 species
UAUCCUAGUUUCCACAAAAUUCAGAGUUGUUAAACUUGGGUUGCAAAACCAGGAAAAAUAAACCUCCAGAUGUCCUCUGAAUGCUGAGUUUCCAUGACAUCAUCACCAAAUUCAGGAGACUGCAUUGUAUAAUCUGGCCUCUUUUGUGAUUUUACAGCUAAACUCAGGUCCUCCCACAUGGAUUAAUUAUAUUUGAAAUUGUUAUGCCACAACAGAAGAUUAUAAGAAUAUUUCAGGGGCGCCUGGGUGGCUCAGUCAAUUAAGCAUCUGACUCUUGAUUUUGGCUCAGGUCAUGAUCUCAGGGUAGUGAGUCUGAGGCCCAUGUUGGGCUCUGCACUCAGUGGCAGUCUGCUUGAGAUUCUCUCUUCCUCUGCCCCUCCCCUCCACACUCAUGCUCUCUGUCUCUCUCUCCCUCUAAAAUAAAUAAAUCUUUAAAAAAAGAAGAAGGAAGGAAGGAAGGAAGGAAGGAAGGAAGGAAGGAAGGAAGGAAGGAAGGAAGGAAGGAAGGAAGGAAGGAAGGAAGGGAGAAAGGGAGAAAGGGAGAAAGAGAGAAAGAGAAAGAAAGAAUAUUUCAAAUUGAGAAGAUCCCACAUUGUCUCUUCCAAUUUGUUUCUCAGGUCACUACACGGACCUGGUGAGGAGUUUGGGGUAGACCAGAAACCUCUGUCACCCAAGACCCAUCAAAGCAUGCAGAAACAAAAGAAGAAUGAGUAUAUCCAAUUCUGGGUCUCUGCAAGGGAAAAUUACUUUGGCAAUCAAGCACAGCACCUGCUGGAGGGCAGACUAAACAAAAAUUAAAGGAUUUUACUUUUCCCCCAUACAUGGAGCAAAAGGCCAUCUCCUCCAUCUCCAGACUGGAUACAGUCCAAGCCUGAAGCCCUCAAGACACAGGAAGGAAUGGUAAUGGAGGUGAGCAUGGAAACUCCAGUCUAAGAGGGAAGGAAUAGAGAAAAAGAUGAGAAACUUAGAAAAGUUGACUAUAAAGUAUCAAGGAAAGAGAAGUCACUCAAGAAAGAAGGAGGCUUUUUGAAGGCCUGAUUACGUGAAGGUUCCUUCUGUGGUACUAGAGAAAAAGAAAGUAAGACGGUCUUCACUUCUGUUUUUUCUUUACAGUUCUGGUGUUUUGAGACCUAGAAGACUCUUCAUUAGUGAACUUGAGAAAUCUCUACAAUAAUCAGAUACGCACUUGUGCUGGAAGGAGAUUGCCUGACAAUGGAUUAUAAAGUGGAGCUAUGUCUGUUUAUGAAGCAGAGGUACAGGGACACCAUCAGAGAAGAUCCCAGGCAGUGAAAACCUUCUUCUAAUGAGAGGAAGAAAUAGAUUUUGAUGCUCUACAAGUUGGUACAUGAAUAAAAGAAAGAAUAGAGAAUCCA